AGAGUUUGAUCCCUGGCUCAGGACGAACGCUGGCGGCGUGCUUUAACACAUGCCAAGUCGAACGGGGCUAGUCAACCGUUUAAUUAAUUUAAACAACAGGCUAGCCAAGUGGCGGACGGGUGAGUAACGCGUGGGCAAUCUGCCCAUAAGACCGGGACAACAUCAGGAAACUGAUGCUAAUACCGGAUACAGUCAUGAACAGGCAUCUGUACAUGAUAAAAAAGCAGCCUCUCGACGAAGCAGCUGCUUAUGGAUGAGCCCGCGUUCCAUUAGCCAGUUGGUGAGGUAACGGCUCACCAAAGCGACGAUGGAUAGCCGGUCUGAGAGGGCGAUCGGCCACACUGGGACUGAGACACGGCCCAGACUCCUACGGGAGGCAGCAGUGGGGAAUAUUGCGCAAUGGGGGGAACCCUGAUGCAGCGACGCCGCGUGAGCGAAGAAGGCUUUCGAGUUGUAAAGCUCUGUAAUAAGGGAAGAAUGCUGUAUAUACGAAGAGUAUAUGCAGCUGACAGUACCUUAACAACAGCCCCGGCUAACUACGUGCCAGCAGCCGCGGUAACACGUAGGGGGCGAGCGUUGUCCGGAAUCACUGGGCGUAAAGGGCGUGUAGGUGGCUGAGAAAGUCAGGUGUGAAAAGCCUCGGCUCAACCGAGGACCAGCACAUGAAACUAAGCAGCUUGAGUGCAGGAGAGGGGAGCGGAAUUCCCGGUGUAGCGGUGAAAUGCGUAGAUAUCGGGAAGAACACCGGUGGCGAAGGCGGCUCUCUGGACUGUAACUGACACUGAGGCGCGAAAGCUGGGGUAGCGAACGGGAUUAGAUACCCCGGUAGUCCCAGCCGUAAACAAUGGGUACUAGGUGUUGGCAGUUAACUGUCAGUGCCGCAGUGAACGCAUUAAGUAUCCCGCCUGGGGAGUACGGUCGCAAGGCUGAAACUCAAAUGAAU
rnacentral:rRNA from 1 species